rnacentral:tRNA from 1 species
GCCGCCGUAGCUCAGUGGCAGAGCAGCUGUUUUGUAAACAGCAGGUCGUCGGUUCAAUCCCGACCGGUGGCUCCA